CCGGGAACGGGACCAAGCCGAGGGGGAGGCGAGGGAUCCACCGCGGCACCCCCGUGUCCUGGAGGAGCCUCAUCCCAAAUUGCAGCCAGUGAUGCAAGGGCUCGUCCUGUGACAGGUGGGAGUUGUCCGGUCUGCAUCCCCAGCCCAGCGUCUCUGGGAUGCAAUAAGGAGGACGCUCCAUGGCAUUCGUGUUUCCAUGUAAUAACAAAGCACGCGGAAAUGUUUUAACAGUGCUUGCGGGGAAGUGGAUAAAGCGUCCCCCAAUAUCAAGGCGCCGCAGCCUGGCCUUCCCAUCCCCACAGAAAGGAAACAGUAAAGAAUUGAAGAUGGAGAGUACAAAAUCAGAGAUGAAGAUGGUUUUGCUUCCAGUGAAACAGUUAAUGAGCAGAACAGUUGCUCUGUGAAUGGUGGCCAUUGCUGCAGCUUGGCCUUGACAUGAUUCCCAGUCUGAAACAUUAGGAACCAGAUUUUAGAAAGCUGUCGGUCUGCGGAUCUCAGGUGUGGGUUGUCCAACCUGUCUUUGUGGCUGCGAGCACACAGACCAUCUGGGUUAAUAUCUGGGUUCCAAGCUGUGGAAAUGCUUCAGCCUGAGCACUCAGACCAUCGUGCUGCUGUGUGCGGUCAGGAGAGCGUGACUGGACAUAAUCCAAGAAGAGCUUCUCAGACACAGGGUAGCAGGACAAACAGCAGCCAGCAGAGCAAAGCCCUGGCGCACGGAGGUUCCCUCUCGACCUGCGUGCAAGCACACUUUUUACACAGGAGGCAGGAACACAAGGUGAGCAGAAGAAAUUGAAAUCUGCCACAGGAAGCCAAGCAGACGACUUGGCAAGCAAGCAGUUAACACGGGAUGGCAGAAGGAGGGAGUGACUGUAUUCUCUGAAGAACUGAGCAACUGGUGUCACUGCCUUCACGUCUGUGUGAGCACAGACUUAGGAAGGAAAGGAUGGAAGGUUGUUCUCAGUGGUCUGCCUCCCUCAAUUCUUCUACUGCUAGUGCACACCAGACCUGCGUCUUGUCGGAGAGGGCACUGACUGUGAAAAUCCUGUGCAAAAUCGCACUGGGCCGUUCUCUCACCUGAGGAUUAUCCCACAGUGCAAGGGGCUCUGAGAGGAAUAUCCAUGUGCGGGGCAGAAGGAGAGAGUUACCCAUGUGUAUAGGCACAUAUGGACAGUCACUGAAAAGGGAAAAGAAAGUAACUUUAUAACAAUGAGGGUUUUUUGA